AAUCUCAUUCAGUCAAGCCGAACAUGGCAUGUCAGGAGUGUGAAUGUUAUGAGGGCUGUACUAACACAUGACAGGUCAGUGGUAAUCUCAUUCAGUCAAGCCGAACAUGGCAUGUCAGGAGUGUGAAUGUUAUGAGGGCUGUACUAACACAUGACAGGUCAGUGGUAAUCUCAUUCAGUCAAGCCGAACAUGGCAUGUCAGGAGUGUGAAUGUUAUGAGGGCUGUACUAACACAUGACAGGUCAGUGGUAAUCUCAUUCAGUCAAGCCGAACAUGGCAUGUCAGGAGUGUGAAUGUUAUGAGGGCUGUACUAACACAUGACAGGUCAGUGGUAAUCUCAUUCAGUCAAGCCGAACAUGGCAUGUCAGGAGUGUGAAUGUUAUGAGGGCUGUACUAACACAUGACAGGUCAGUGGUAAUCUCAUUCAGUCAAGCCGAACAUGGCAUGUCAGGAGUGUGAAUGUUAUGAGGGCUGUACUAACACAUGACAGGUCAGUGGUAAUCUCAUUCAGUCAAGCCGAACAUGGCAUGUCAGGAGUGUGAAUGUUAUGAGGGCUGUACUAACACAUGACAGGUCAGUGGUAAUCUCAUUCAGUCAAGCCGAACAUGGCAUGUCAGGAGUGUGAAUGUUAUGAGGGCUGUACUAACACAUGACAGGUCAGUGGUAAUCUCAUUCAGUCAAGCCGAACAUGGCAUGUCAGGAGUGUGAAUGUUAUGAGGGCUGUACUAACACAUGACAGGUCAGUGGUAAUCUCAUUCAGUCAAGCCGAACAUGGCAUGUCAGGAGUGUGAAUGUUAUGAGGGCUGUACUAACACAUGACAGGUCAGUGGUAAUCUCAUUCAGUCAAGCCGAACAUGGCAUGUCAGGAGUGUGAAUGUUAUGAGGGCUGUACUAACACAUGACAGGUCAGUGGUAAUCUCAUUCAGUCAAGCCGAACAUGGCAUGUCAGGAGUGUGAAUGUUAUGAGGGCUGUACUAACACAUGACAGGUCAGUGGUAAUCUCAUUCAGUCAAGCCGAACAUGGCAUGUCAGGAGUGUGAAUGUUAUGAGGGCUGUACUAACACAUGACAGGUCAGUGGUAAUCUCAUUCAGUCAAGCCGAACAUGGCAUGUCAGGAGUGUGAAUGUUAUGAGGGCUGUACUAACACAUGACAGGUCAGUGGUAAUCUCAUUCAGUCAAGCCGAACAUGGCAUGUCAGGAGUGUGAAUGUUAUGAGGGCUGUACUAACACAUGACAGGUCAGUGGUAAUCUCAUUCAGUCAAGCCGAACAUGGCAUGUCAGGAGUGUGAAUGUUAUGAGGGCUGUACUAACACAUGACAGGUCAGUGGUAAUCUCAUUCAGUCAAGCCGAACAUGGCAUGUCAGGAGUGUGAAUGUUAUGAGGGCUGUACUAACACAUGAC